rnacentral:lncRNA from 1 species
CUGGACAAUGUGGAAGUUGCCUUUGUUUGGAGCAACUGAUGCUUCUCAAGUGUUGAAGGAGCUUGAUGAAGUUGUUGUUGCUUACCCUAAUGCCUUUGUCCGUAUCAUCGGAUUCGACAACGUUCGUCAAGUUCAAUGCAUCAGUUUCAUUGCACACACACCUGCGGUCUACUAAAUUUGAGUGUUAAAUCACUCUCAGCUGCCAUUGGAAGAACAUCUUUUUCUCUCAAUUUGUUCUGAUUGUAAUGUCUUCCUUUGUUUUUUGGUUUUCGCUUUCGGAUUUCAAAAUGCAAAUGUAUGGAUAAGAGUUAAUAAAUGAAAUGGUACCUUUUUCAUUCUCAAGUUAGUAGUAUAUGUUGUUUUCCUUGUAAUGGCUUGAACUUGAAACUUUAAAUAACAAAGGAACUAAUAGUAUGAUAUUAAAGAAAAAAAAAUUGCAUUUCCACCUAAUUCAUUCUCAUCUUUACCAAAAUUAUGCACAAUCAGUACAUCUUUGCAAGAAAUAUUUUUGACAGAAAUUAUGAACUGAAUAUCGCUGGCGCUCCAAAAAGCAAUCCGCGGUCUCAAACUCAUCUUCAUACGCUAAAUUUUAGGCCUUAGCUUUUACUGGUUGGGAAUUGCAAUUCCUUGCAUACCUUCAGCAUGAUUUCCAUUUAUUUUUUAUUUUCUAAUCUUCCUCAUGCAGUAACAGCCAAUUCACUCACUAUAUGGCAGCCAAUUCCAUCUUUUACGAAUGGAAAAAAUACAUUGAAAUUGACCGUCACAUUGUUAUGGAAAAAGUUUCAACCGCAGUUUUUGCAAUGUCGACUGCCUAUUUCCGCAGUCGAUCAAGUGGCAGACCUGCUCACAAAACAUCUUGAACCUACCCACUUUAAUUGUCUACUUGCCUACCUGAAAGUUCUAAAUAUACAAUACUCAUAUAUUAGUAACUAAAUGAAGGGACUAAAUUGUUAGUGCAAGAUGUGUUUCUUGCACUCCUAGGAACUAAAUGAAGGGACUAAAUUUGAAAGAAACACUAUGAGUGAAUUAUAUUGAUUAUGAAAACUGAAUGAAUGAAUACAUGGGAUACAAUUACAAGUAUUUAAAGACUUUUCUAAUUACUUGAAUCACAAGUAAACUAACAAAUACAAACCAACUUGUUAGUUACUAACCACCAACUUCUCUAACAAACUAGUUGUAACUAACUACUACUUUGUAGUUGAAUUAAUCCACAACAAUAAUACCUUAGCUAAAACUUUAGCUUAAACAAUGCAAGGCAUUCUAUAUUGGUGAUUUUAUUCAUGAGUAAAGUGGACAUAUUUCAAAAAGUAAAAGGAAAUGAUACUAAGAGCCAAAACCAGCUAUAACUUAUAGAAGUGUACAUGUUUUAAUUUUUCAAUAAAUCCUAGAAAAAGUGAGAGAUUCUUGAAGAUUAUAAAUAAUGCUGAAGAUAAAUAGAUCAGAAAUUAAUAUAACCUAAUAAACAAGACUUAAAACUUCAAGGUAACGUCUAUCCGGUAAUGGUCUUGAGCAAGUUCAGAUGGUGCGACGACAUGCACCUAUUUUUUAAGGGCACCAAUAAUCUCUUAUUAAUUUUUUAGUCCUAUGAUAAAAGACGUUGUAUGUAAAGGUUGGGGACAGUAAUCGAUUAAAUUAAGUUGUCCUGCUUUAAUUUCUAAUUUUUUUUUAAGAAUGUUUCGAGAGAUGCUAGUAUCGAACCGAGUACCACAAAGUUGAGAGGUGAUUUUCCAAUCAAGUGAUCUCUCUUUUUACUGGCAUUUUUUCUAAGAAUGUUGAUUGUGAAGUGAUGGAUGAUCAAUAAUUUUGCAGAUAUAAAUGCAAAGAUGAUAAAUUUAAAUGAUUUCGAAGAAAAAAAUUUCUCGGAUCAUAUAGAGCAUCCAAAAUCUCAAGGACAACCCUACUUCCACUAUUAAGUUCUUCUUACUUAUCAUAGUCCACCUUUCAUAACUUUGGAAAAAAAAAUAAAGGAAAAGAAUGAAGUUGUAAUUUUAUUGCAUUUUUUAUGGACCUAUACAACCAUUUUUAAGGGAGAAUAAGUGCCAUUCUUUUGGUUGUUCCAAAUGUAAGUAUCUUCCACGGUAUAAUUGAAAUUGGCGUGGAUGUGAUUUAUGUGGUCAGAGGUCGUAUGAGAUGACUGGGUAUAGAGAAUAUGCGUGUGAGGAUCAUUAGCCGAGAGAACAUAUUUAACCGUAAGCUGAAUGUCAUGAAUAUCUAUAUAAGGAACAAGAGACCCAAGAAUUCCAAGAGUUGUCCAUUGACUAAACCAAAAGGAUGAAGACCCAGACUCAGCACGCCAGACAUAUCAUGCUUUAAGAACAUUUUUAGCUUUGAUGAUGGAGGACGAAGUGGGAGAGCCGUUGGGGCUAUCAGUUGCUUGAGAGGAGGUUUGCCAGAAGAUUGAAUCACGUCCAACACUAGCUUUCCUAAAAGGCAAGUAUUCGCCUCCCUAGCUGAUCUGAUUCCAAGGCCACCAAGAGAUUUAGGACGAGAAAUCUUUUUCCAACCUACUAAAUGAAUGCUUUUAUCAUUUGUACUUCUCUAAAUGAAAUUUCUAGUUGUUUGAUCAAUGUUUUCACAAAUGGAUUGAGGAAACCAACUAAUCUGCAUGUAAUAAGAUGGAAUGGAGGAAAUAAUAGAAGAAAGAAGAGUUAAUCUAUCAGGUUUAUUCAACAAUCUAUUAUUCCAGGAUACCAAUCUUGUUUGCAUUUUCUCAAUAAUAAAAUAGAAAUUAUUCCUUUUCACCCUUCCUUUCAGAAUAGAGAAGCCUAAAUACUUAUCAGGAGAAAUAGUGCUUCUAAUUCCUGAAAUAGAUGUCAGCUUGUUAAUCUUAACUUGAGGAAUGUUUGAGAAAUAGAAAGCUCUAGACUUGGACAAAUUAAUUUUCAAUCCUGAAGCAUGACUAAAGCGGUCAAAUAAAUUAGAAAAGACUCUUAGCUGAGAAUUUCUUGCCUUAGAAAAAAGGAGGUCGCCGUCCGCAAAAAGAAGAUGGGACAACUUCGGCCCUAAGUUGGUGAUGUGGAUGGGUUCCCAGUUUCCUCGGAGGACAACGUUGUUGAUGGAAAUUGAGUGUUUUUCCAUACAAAGAAUGAAAAGAUAUGGUGAGAGUGGAUCACCUUGUAUGAGGCCAUGAGUAGGCUUGAAGGGAGACAUCUUUUUCCCAUUCGAGAGGAUAGAGAAAGUGGAGGAGGCAACGCAAUGCAUGAUAAGAUUGGUUGUGAUAGUAGAGAAACUGAAAUCUUGAAGAGUACUCUUGAGGAAGUCCCAGUUGAAAAUAUCAAAAGAUUUCUCAAGAUCAAGUUUGAAAGCAGCAGAACCUUUUUAUUUUAGACCUUCUCAUAAAAUAAAAGAUUUCCUGCAAAACAAUGGCAUUGUCAGAAGUGCUUCUGCCUGGAAGAAAGUUGCUUUGGUAGAGACCAAUAAUAAUAUCAAGAAUCGGUCUUAAAAGAUGGAGUAAGACUUUAGUGAUAAUCUUGUAGACAAUAGUGCAGAGGCUGAUCAGUUUAAAAUGUUUAUAAGUGGUGGAAGGCCGAUUUGACAAGACUAAAAAUAUCGUCCCCAACUAUAUGCCAAUAUUGUUUGAAGAAAAUGCAUUGGAAAUCAUAUGGACCCGGCGCCUUAUAAGGCUUCAUGGAAUUCAGGGAUAUAACAACCUCCUCUUUAGUGAUUAAAAAUGAUAGAGUUCUCUCGGAGGUUAUUAUCAUUAUAUAUUAAAUUCAUAUAAUGGAGGUUGUACAUAACUGAUAAAUUUGAGAGAAUAAGAAUAUGAAAAGUGGCAAAUUUUUAAGAAAGGAUGAGGAGAUUUUUUAGAGAUGCCACACAGGAACAAUAGAAGUCUAAGGUUAAUCGAAGUUUAGAAUUCAAGAUAGUAUAGAAGAUAGAUAGAUAGAUGAUAGGUAACGAUUAUUUAUGGAAUUUUUUGAAAAAUACUCUCUAGAAAAACGAAAUACUUUUUAAUUUUGACCGAAAAAAAAUAAUACUUUUUAUUUACAUUUAUUUUAUACGAUUGAGUCAAACAAAAAUUUAUUCCAUGUUUUCUCGAUAGAUGUAUAUAUAGCACAAUUGAGGUCAUAUUCAUCUCAAACAAUAAUAGUUUUAAGCAAAAGAGUAGUGCUAUAUGUCCCGAUAAGAGAUAAAGUUCUAAGCAUGCAUUUUGGCGAAAUACAAGGGUGGGUGGCCAAUGAAAUAUCGUUGUGAGACAAUCACGAUGUAUGGUCUCGUGAUACUAAGCAAUUUCCAAUUCAAAAAUGGAGGUCUCACUCUACGAUAGAGUUUCAAUCAACCCUUUUCUCGAUUAAUGCAUUUCGAUUUUAGUUCAAAAUUAUUUGUUGUAGUCUUGAAUUGAUUUUUAAUUUUUUUUCUUCAGGUUUUACAUCAAAAAAUCUCACGGCGUUCGCUUCCUCCUCACUAGCUGAAAAGAAGAAGGUUAUGUUCAUAACGGGUACAAUUAACACUUGAAAAACUAUACUUUUCAUCUACUUAGGUACUCAUUUCCACUAUGAAACCAUCAAUUCAAAUAAAAUUCAAAUUUAUUAAGAUCUUGACUUGACACCAACUUGGUACCAUAAUUUGAACGUUGUUCGAUUUCACAUCACAUAUUAUGCAUCAUCAAUGAUACAUAUAUGAUUUCCCUAUGAUUAAUUUUUGCAAACACAUGCCUGAAACUCUAUAUUCAUAGCUGAAAAAUGGACAUCUAACCAUUAUUGUAGGAGGGUCACGUUCUUACAUUGAAAUAUUAGUUGAUGACCCAAUCAUUGAAUUUUGUUCAAAAUGUUAUUGUUGUUUCAAAAAUCAAUCACAAUGAAAUCAUAAUCCUAAUUAUUGCUGACGCCUAAUAUGUGAUGUCGAAUCGAACAAUGUUCAUACUCUAAUACCUUGUUGGCGAAAGGUCAAGACCCGUAUAGACUUGAAUUUUAUCUGAGUUGAUGAUUUCAAAGAGGAAUCAAGUACUUAGGUAGAUGAAAAAAAUUAUUUUUUCCAAUUCCAAUUGCUUUCGUUAUGAACAAAACCUUGUUCUUUUCGGCUAGUAUAUUGAGGAAAAAAAAGACAAGAUUUAUUUUAUUUUAUUUUUUAUGUAUAACCUAAGGAAAAGACAAUAAUACAAAUAAGGCUUAGACACACUUUUGACCCCCUAACUUUAAACUAGUUGCAAUCUUGACCCCCUAUUAAAAAAAAAACACAUUUCAGUCCCCUAAGUUUCCCCCUUUUUGCAACUUUCAAUUUUGAUCAUUCAAACUCAACCAUUUAGGACAAUAAAAAUAAGCGGGGUAUUUUGUUUAGCAAGUUUCAGGCGAUCUUGACCUUCUACCAUCUUGAAUGGUUGAUUUUUAAUGAUCAAAAUUAAAAGUUGUAAAAAGGGAAAACUUAAGGGACUCAAAUGUGUUUUUUUUUAAUAAGGGGACAUAAUUGCAACUAAUGUAAAGUUAGGGAGGCAAAAGUGCGUUUAAGUCUAAAAAUAAUUUAAAUAUACAACAAAUGAUUUUGAACUAGAAUUGAAAUGGAUUAAUCUUAUGCAUGUUGUCAAUAAGGAUACUAUGUAUAUGAAGAAGAGAAUCAAUUGAAACUUUAUUUGUGCUAUGUAUAAUGAUGUAUGAUAUAUGGAGAGAGGGACCACUAUAGGCGAGUUUGGAAUCAAUUUUGCAGAAGGUUCAUGGAGGGCGGGUUUAUCGUUGUAGGCGUGGUAGAGGUCUUAGGACUAUCCCGUAGUUUUAUGGUCUUGUAAUAGUAUUUUGAACAAAUUUGAUGUUUUUAAUUUGAUGUUUAAAUAUUUGUUUUGUAUCCUACAAAUAUUUUGUUUUUAAUAUUAUUUUUGAAAAUUGUGUUGUUUCUUAUCUUUUCAUUAUAAUAUUUUAUUUAUUCACAAAUGCAUGUUUAUAUCAAAUGAUUAUGUAAUCUGUAUGUAUUAGAGUGAAAACAAACUCUAUUUCUAUUCUAAUACCUUUCGGAUUAUAUAAUUCGAACAUUUUUAUGACAUUCAGAUUAUAUAAUCUUAAAUAUGCGUUUUUUUACACCACAAUUUCCCCUUCUGGGGUGUUUGCUGCAUUUUUCUAAGAAUGUUGAUUGUGAAGUGAUGGAUGAUCAAUAAUUUUGCAGAUAUAAAUGCAAAGAUGAUAAAUUUAAAUGAUUACGAAGAAAAGAAAAAAAAAAUCUCAGAUCAUAUAGAGCAUCCAAAAUCUCAAGGGAAACCCUACCUCCACUAUUAAGUUCUUCUUACUUUUCAUAUUCCACCUUUGAUAACCUAGGAAAUAAAAUAAAGGAAAAGAAUGAAGUUGUAAUUUUAUUGCAUUUUUUCUGGACCUAUACAACCACUAUAUGCUCACGUUCCUACUUAGAAAUUAAAAUUAAAUUGUUCUAAUUCAAUGUUAUAAUCAGAAAACUAGCUUUGAAGGAAGGAAAUGUCUUACUCGAUAUGACUUUGUCCACCGAAACUGACAUCAAGGGGGGAUCGAACGUGAAACUUUGAGAGAAACAAAUUCCAAGAUCACAAAUUAACCACAAGGUCAACCCCAAAUGAGUUUUUUUGGUUACCAUUAGAAAACCGUGUAUAUUUUAACAUAAUUUGGAUGAUUAAUUAUGUGUAGUAUAUGUGUAUUUAAACACUUAAAAAUGAUGGCUAAUUGUAUUCAUUUAAUGAUUAAUAGAUUGCUACCAAAUAUAAUUAACCACAUCUUUGCAGUUUGUUACACCCAAAAAACUAACCACAUAUUUGAACCAUGUUAACCAUCUAAUUGAUGUCAAAUUUGUUUGUCAAAGUAAUACAACUCAUCAUCGAUUUGUGAGUCUUGACAUUUUCUACAAAUAAAUGUAUACACAAACCGAUUGCUAUAAAUAUGAUACACUUAUUCUUUAUCCCUAUGAGGAGCCAAAGCCUGAAAAAAAAACUAGUACCAUACACGAUUGAUAUUUUUAGUUUUUUGGUCAAGUGGUUUAUAUUUAUGGAAGCAUUAAUAGUCACACAACUACACGUGGCAAUUUCAUAUUGGUGGCUAAAGAUAAGGCACCACAAAAAUUUCCAAUCUUGUUGUGUGGUUAAUGGCUGCAAUGUUUAUCAUUUUCACAAUCAAACAAAAUUGUAUUAUGCAGCAACCAGUUACCACAAUUUUUAGAACCAUAAUAUUGGAAAUACAAAAAUAAAGACAUUAUAUAUAGCAAGUUUGAGUAUAGGCUUUGAAAUUCAAGCAGAAGUAUAUCUUACAUUACUAGUGAACUAAGUAAGGGAGAAAAAAAAUGGCUUCCUCUAUGAUUUCCUCUUCAGCUAUGACUACAGUUAACCGCGCCUCUUCGGUACAAUCCGGCGCGGUGGCUCCAUUCGUUGGACUCAAGUCCAUGGCUGGCUUCCCAGUUACAAAGGUCAACAAGGACAUUACCUCUAUUACAAGCAAUGGUGGAAGAGUAAACUGCAUGCAGGUGAGAAAAAUAAUAGGCCUACUAUUUUAGUUUAUUAUUAGCAUAAUGGAAACAAUUUAUGACAUGUCUGUAAACUGUUUUCAUCUUAUAUUUUCAUAAGCUCUUCAGGAUAGUAGGAUAGUUUAUGAAAACAGCUUAUAGAUUAUAUGAAAAUAGCUUAUAGAUUCAUUGAGAAAUGCACACAAGUUUGUUAACCCUUUUGUUCAAUUUUAGGUGUGGCCUCCUAUUGGCAAGAAGAAGUUUGAGACACUUUCAUACCUUCCACCAUUGACCAGAGAACAAUUGGCCAAAGAAGUUGAAUACCUUAUAAGGAAGGGAUGGGUUGCUUGCUUGGAAUUCGAGACCGAGGUCUAGUUUUAAUUUAUUUUCAAUGCCUUUUCAAUGAACAUAUAUAUAGUUUUGAAUUUAGAUGGUUAAUUGGUUUGUCAUGGUUAAUCUACUUGCAGAAAGGAUUUGUGUACCGUGAGAACCACAGUUCACCAGGAUACUAUGACGGACGUUACUGGACAAUGUGGAAGUUGCCUUUGUUUGGAGCAACUGAUGCUUCUCAAGUGUUGAAGGAGCUUGAUGAAGUUGUUGUUGCUUACCCUAAUGCCUUUGUCCGUAUCAUCGGAUUCGACAACGUUCGUCAAGUUCAAUGCAUCAGUUUCAUUGCACACACACCUGAAGUUUACUAAGUUUGAGUAUUUAAUCACUCUCUGCUGCCACUGGAAGAACAUUUUUCGUUGUUUUUCGAUUUACGCUUUCGGAUUUCAAAUGCAAAUGUAUGGAUAAGAGUUAAUAAAUGAAAUGGUACUUUUAUUCAUUCUGAAAUUAGUAGGAUAUGUUGCUUACCUUGUAAUGUCUUGAACUUGAAAUUUUAACUAACAAAGGAACCAACAGUAUGAUAUUAAAGAAAGAUAAAUUACAUUUCCAGAUAAUUCUUUCUCAUUUUCACCAAAAUUAUGCACAAUCAGUACAUCUUUACAAGAAACUUUUUUGAGCAGAAAUUAUGAACUGCAUAUCGUUGACGCUCCAAAAAGCAAUCCACGGUCUCAAAGUUAUUUUCAUACGCUAAAUACUAGGUCUUCGCUUUUACCUUCUGAAUGACAGCCAAUUUACUCACUAUAUUGCAGCCAAUUCGAACUUUUAUGAAUGGACAAAAUACAUCGAAAUUGACCGUCAUAAUUUUAGGGAAAAAGUUUCAACCAAAGUUGUUGCGUGAUCUUACUGCCUAUUUCCGCAGUCGAUCAAGUGGUAGACUUGCUCACAAAACCUAUUGACCCUACGCCCUUUAAUUGUCCAGUCUUCAUCUGUUAGUAGAUAAUCCUUUUGUUUGGCUUUUCAAUCAUGUUUGUAUUUCCUAUUCUAUAACUUCCAUCAUGAAUAACAUUUUAAGUUCUUCACAUUUGAUAAUACCUUAGCUGAAAAAAUGUAAGGCUCUCUGCAUUGGUGAAAAUAUUUAAAAGAGUAAAUCAAAAUGAUACAAGAGCCAAAAACCAGAUUUUACUAUUCAGAGUUUGCUAUUUAUUUAUAGGGCAAUGCUAAACCGUGCCCCCAGAGGCAAUGGUUAAGCAUCCAAAACAAGAAAGUUUUCACAAAAAAAGUAAUGUAAUCGUUAUUUAGUCAAAAGUGAGACCUUAUGUUUCCAAGACAAAAUUUCUAUUCAUGGAUUCCUUAACCAAUGCCCAAGAAGCACUGGUUAACAAGACCCUUAUUUAUAACACUCCUUCUCAACUUAGUGAGUGGAUAUAAAUUAUUCCAAGCUUGCAAGUAAAAAGGUUGAAUCAUUCUGUCGGACAGAAAACUCUUUGUUAACACAUUUGUCUGUUGAUGCCCAAAAGGAACAUAAGCUGUAGUUGUCAGUUCUGUUGUGAAUUCGGUAACUUCAAAUCUUACACCAAUGAAAUUUAGAUUUGUGGUGAAGUAUCAAUGUAAACUAAUAACCACAAGCAACAACAACAAUUUUAGAUCUAAUCUAAAAACUAAGUGUAAAGCAAAACCACAAUCGAACAAAAGAAGAAACAAGAUAAAGAGAAUAGAGAAAAAGAGCAACGCCAAACAACCGUUUACCUAGUUCGGUCUAUCAUUGACCUACUUUGGGAAAGAGAUCAAGUUCCUUACAAAGAGAUACAAAAAAGGGUUACAAGAAAUUCGCUUCAACAAGUUCUCCAAGACAAAACCUAAUUUCUACCUUUUUCCCAAUCUCAUUCCAUGAACAAGAGACUCAAUGAUUUCACUCACCAAAGGUGUUUCCCAAUUGUUUUUCAACUCUAGAAUCUAACCCCCCAAAAGAGAACCAAUCCAUAUCCUUUGAUUUCCCAAAAAUAUUCUCUUUUGGUUUUCCAAGACUCACUCAAGUUGCUCGCAAAACUCUCCUUUGAUGUGUUUUCCAAAAGGGUCUUGUUACAAGUGUCCCCGGGACACUCUUUAAGCAUUCCAAAAUUAGUAAUUAUUUUUUAAAAAAGUUAAAUGUUUCGAUUUCCAAUGCAUUGAUUACACACUUUUUUAUAAAUACAUACUACUUAUAGUCCUUAAAGAGUGUCUCAGGGACACUUGUUAACAUUUCCCUUUCCAAAAUUGUGCCCCAAUUUUCCAAUUCAUACACGAUCGAUGCAAGGGAAUGUUAUCCAAAAUCAUACCCCAAUUUUUGUCGAACCAAAACUCCAAUUGAACUUCACAUUGUAUCUUCAAAUAUAUAUUCCAACACUUGUUUCAUCCAUAAUAGCUCACAAAUUCCUAGUGCCAUAACUCUAUAUUUUUCCUCAACGAUUGAUCAAUCAACUACACUUUACUUCUUAUUCCUUCAAGCAAUAAGGUUCUCACACAAUAAUGUACAAUGGUUAGAAGGAAAUCUUCUACUUGCAUGACCCACCCGCAAACCGUACCGGAUCCUCAUGGAAUAUUGCAUAACACUUUAUCGUUCCAACUUAUCACUUGGCUGUAUCAAUUUGUUUGAUAAAGUUUCAUCUGAAGUAUAUACUAUACACACACAAAAAUAAGAAGAAUUUCAAAAUUCAUUCUAAUACUCACAGCACAUUCCUAAAAAAAUAUAUAUAUAUAUAUAUAUACUCAUAGCACAAUAUGUGCCUAAUAUUAAGAAUAAUAACAACAGUUUAAAAGAUCGAACGACAUGUUGUUAAAGCCAAUGAUUUAACAAUUAACACUGAUUUUAACCAUAGAUUUGAACCUGAUUAUGCUCUAUAAAAAAUAAUAAAAUGAACAACACCUUUGUAUUUUGACACAUGUUAUAAACACAUCACUAAAACAGCACAAUCAACUUUCAUUUCGACUCUUUUUUGUUCGCAUCAAAGUUAGCUAGGAAAUAGCAAGCACAAAUGUACUUUUAAUACAAACAAUUAAUGGAGACGGAAAAAUCAAUUGUAGUUUUAUAACCAAUAGAUAGCCAAAUCCUAUCCCAUAAACAUACUCCAUAAUAAACAAACCAACUAUGAAUGAACAUAAGUUAUCUAUUUUAGAAGCAUUCAUCAUCCAAUAUACAUUAUAAUUCAAGCCUUAAAUGCUAACACAUUUAAGCUUCUUUGCCAAAAAAAAUUCAAUCGUUACUUUCUUCACAAUAUAGACCCUUCAAGAACAUCAACUUCUCCGUGGAUAACUCUUUAGAGAUAACACAUGCAAAACAAAACGCGGCAGUUGGAGAGCAAAUAACAAAAAGUGAUGAAGAUAGUAAUGGAGAGCAAGCAUGGAAACUACAACAAAAGUAUAUAUAUAACCAGCCUUCCUUCAUCAUACGUAUAAAUAGGACAAAAUAAUCCUUUUGUAAGUUGGUUUGUGUUUUAGUGGUUCACUUAUUGGUAAAGCACAAUAGCCAUUGGAGGUACUAUCUUGUUCCAAGAUUAAUUUACAUGCUAGAGAAACAAAUAUUGGAGUUCCUAGAAGAAAAAAGAAUACGGCAGUUGAUGUUGAUGUGGGCGUGAAACAUUGAUGGAAUGAAAAUGUGAUAGGCAAGAAUUGGAGUCCCUAGAAAUUAGAGUUCCAAGGUUAGCUUGCAUAAGAGAACGGACGAAAGGAUGGAAUGGAUGAUUAGGAAAGUUGAACAUUCUUGAUGAGGCCAAAGACAUUGAAUACAUAUUGGCGCCUUCCUCGUCUCUAAUAUAUAUGCCAAUACCUACUCGAUUGUCAUUAUUUGAAAAAGAAGCGUUUAUGUUACAUGUUUAAUACAUUUAUUACUAUAUGAUAUGAAUAUCUCUCAUAUUCUUAAAAAAAUAAAAUCUCACAUAUUUAUUUGAUAAUUAUAAAAUAUAUUUUUCAAUUAGUUUUUCUUGUUAAUGUGAAUAUGAUUUGAUAUAUAUUCGGUAAUUAGUUGAAAGCAACAUAUAUAUUAGAAAAUAUGAUGCAAUAAUAUUUUAAAUAAGUUAUAAUUUUAUUAUAUGGUCUAUGAAGCCCAGAUACAUGAUACGAUUCGACACCGAUACGGGAAAAUUUUAAAAUAUAAGAUACAAUACGGCUUGGAUAUACUUCAAUAAAAAAUUAAAUUUAAACUACAUAUUAAAACUCAAAACACAAAAUAUGGACUAAAACUCAAAAGCAAAAAAAUUGGUGCAAAACCCAGACCAAACAAAAUAGAAAAAGGAUAAGGCACAACAAUGAAAUUGCCUUCACACAACAAUCAACAAUUUCAUCGUUCUCAAACAAACAAAGAGAGAUGAAAGAGACGACAACAACAAUAGAAAUAUAAAUGUAACUAAUAUUAAUAAUAAAGAAAGCGAAAAUUAGUCAAUUACAUAUGUGAUAUAUCCUAAAUAGAAAACAUCAUUACUUAGUCAAUUACAUAUAUACCAAAUAUGAUAGAAACAUCAGGUAGCCCGCACAUAUCAGUUUUCCACCUCCUAUCGCUCUUAUCCCAGAUGUAUCUGAAAAGUAUCGCAUAAUUGUUUUUUUAAAAAAAUAAAAUUUCAUAUUCGGAUACUCUCCUGAUACGUAUCGAGAAGUAUCAAGCAUGUAUCAGUGCAAGAUACACAGGGGAUAAUGUUCAUCAUCCAUUUUGAAGUAUCUGGACUUCAGAGUAUAUGGUACAAAAUAUACAUGUGAAUCAAAAAGAAAAUAAUGACGAAGAUUAUGAAGUUUUUGUGUUUUUUAAAUGUGUGAAAUUUUAUUAAUUUUUUUAUAAAAAAAGUUUAUUUAACUUUUAUAUUAUGAAAUUUAUAUCAUCAUAUUUUUUUAUAAAGAUUGGGUUAAUAGUUAUGCGGUCCGAUCAAUGACCAAUUGAUCCAACCAUUGACCUAAUGACCCAGUGUUUUGGCCGAAUCGACUACCGGUUCGGGUUUUUAAAACACCGGAUUCACUGCAAGUAUUGGGUCAUUUACUCAUGUAAUUCAUUGUUGCUGGGAUAACUAACAUAUUUCAGGUCCUCCUCUAUGUCUGACCCGAAUUCCCAUAUAGAGAGAUAUUUUAAAUAGGAACCAAACGCAAGUACUGGACAUAACAAUAUAAGAUAGAACAACACAUCAGAAGGUAGAACAACACAUGACAAAUUUUUAUGGCAUUGAAUAAUUUUUUGUUUUAUACAAUUUUUGGGUACGAAAUGCUAUUUUUGUAUUUUUGACAACCUGUACGUGAGACAAAAAGUUGUGAUGUGGUUUGAUGAGGGACAAAAAUAUCAGCUUUUGUCAUGUCCCUUGCCUCCAGUUUGUCCUGUACAUGAAACAAUUUUACAAAUCAAACACUGGACAACUGAAGUUGUUUUGUCCUAUCCUUUAUUUUUUAGCAAAUCAAAGGCACCCAUUAUAUUAUUUCAGUGUUUUAGCUAUUUCUAUCUCAUAGUGGAUUUUCGAUUUUGCCAAAACCGAAUCAAUUCAUUGUUUAAGAGGACUAUGAUUCAUCUCCUUCAUAGAUGCUUGCAAGUAUUCUUAGUUUUAUGUUCGAAUUAGGGGAUGUUUGGUUUCUUACUAAUCCGCGGUCAAUGUUUGAAUUUCUGUACUAAUACAUCCAUAAAAACUUGAUUUGUUUUGACAUGUGGACAAUAGCAAAAAAGUGUCCUUUUUUUAAGGAAAGCAAAAAAGUUUUUGAACAAGAGGAAAGCAAAAAAGUGCCCUUAGCAUUUAUUAAAGGAAUACAAAUUUUAGAUGGUAUUCUGGUUGCUAAUUAGGUAGUUGAUGAAUCUAAAAAAUUGAAAAAAGAAUUGCUUUUAUUUAAAGUCGACUUUAAGAAAGCAUACAAUUCAGUUGAUUGGAAAUAUUUGGAUGAUAUUAUGGUUACGAUGUUGUUUCCGACUAUUUGGAGGAAAUGAAUGAAAAAAUGUGUUGGGACUGCUACUGCGACUGUUUUAUUGAAUGGUAGUCCCACUGAGAAAUUCACUUUAGCUAGAGGUCUGCGACAGGGAGAUCCCCUUUCACCUUUCUUGUUCCUUCUGGUGGUUGAGGGGUUUCAUGUGAUGAUGGAGUCUAUUGUUAAUACUAAUAAUAUUUUUAGUGAUUACAAAGUAGGGGGUCGGCCAUUAACUAUUUAUAACCCUCAGUUUACGGAUGAUAACUUUGAUUUUGGGGGAAAGAAGUUGGGCUAAUGUUCGAGCUAUGCAUGUCACCCUUCAUCUUUUUGCAGCGAGGUCUGGUUUAAAGGUUAAUUUCCACAAAAGUGAGUUAGUUGGCAUAAACAUUGGUGGGUCUUGGUUAGCUAAAGUUGCGGCGGUUUUGAAUUGUAAGGUUACAACAUUGUUUGUUUUGUAUGUGGGCCUCCCUAUUGAUGGAGAUUCUCGUCGAUUGAAUAUUUGGGAACCGAUGGCUAAUCGUAUUAAGUCCCACCUGUCAAGUUGGAAAAGUAGAAAUUUUUCUUUUCCAUUUGUUUGGACAUGGAAGUUGGUGUUUUGGAGGUUAUGAGAAUCAGAGAGUUUAAUUUAACGUUGUUGGGUAAGUAGUGUUGGAGGCUGGCGGUGAAUUGAAAGGGUCUCUGGUUUAAAGUCUUGGUUGAGAGGUACGGGGUUGUUGGGGGAGGUUGGAGGAGGGUGGUAGGGAUGGAUGAGUGUGGUGGAGGGAGGUAGCAGGCAUCCGUGAUGGCGUAGGUGCGGGUGAAGGAUGCUGGUUCACUGAUAAUUUGCGCAUUAAGGUUGGUAAUGGUGCCACCGCUUUGUUUUGGUUGGAUAUGUGGGUGGGUGAUGUUCCUCUUCGGGACAAGUUUCAUCGUUUAUUUGAUUUAUCAGAAAAUAAAGACUCGCCUAUCGCUCAAAUAUUUUCGUUAGGGUGGGGUGAGGGAGGGGAGGCUUGGAAGUGGAAGAGAAAAUUAUGAGCGUGAGAGGAGGAGAUGGUAGAUGAGUGUAGGGUGUUACUGCUGACUGUUUCUUUGUAGGGUGAUGUUCAUGAUGUUUGGUCUUGGGGUCCUGAUCCAAUUGGUGGGUAUUCGGUCAAUGGUGCAUGAUGUAGGAGGGUUUCCAUAGUAUUUUAUUAUUUCAAUCUAAUUUUAUUAUUGGUUGUUUUGUUUUCAGUUUUUUUUUUGCCCAUUAGGGUUUUGUUAUUUCCCUAGUUAAGCUUUAACAUUGUAGGCCAAAGAGGCAACUUUUAUUCAU